AAUGGUUAGAGGUUCAUAUGUCAAAUAUUAAUUAACCUCAAUGGAAUAAUAAACUAAAUAUAAAGGAAAUUAUUUCAAAUAUUAAGAUUUGCAGGCGAGAAUUCAAUAUUUUGGAGCUAUCUCCAUUAAAUAUGUUUAAUUUUCGAAUAGAACAAGAUUAUAUUAAGGUUAGGUUCAUUUUUGGAAUUAGGGUUUGUUAUUGGGCUAUAACAAUAACUCUGUUCUAUUUAUGACUUAUAACUAUAAUUUUAAUUCUUGUAUUAUUCAUCAUUAACACUAAAUUCGUAGUAGUACAUGUAAAUCAUAUUUUUCAUAUCUAUGUGAACAUAAUUUGAUUAUAUUUUCAUGAUAUUUUAACGGGAAGAAAAAGCAAUGCUUAAAAUCAGACUAAGAUAUAUUUUAUAUGGGAAAUUUGAAGAUUUGCACUCAAAACGUGUCUACAAAUUUGUCAUUUUUAUUUGAUAGAACGUAUAAUAAAAAACGUUCAUGGGGAUUGGAAGUUAAACAUUAAAUUUACCAGGUUAAAGUUUAUUCUGGAAAAAAACAUUUAAAGGACCUAGAGCAACUGUUUCAGGCAAAUUAAAGUUAUUGAUCAAGUUAUGGAAGACACUUCAAUGUUACCAUCGAUGAACAUGAAGUCUGAGAAGUCUCGGCUGGAUCCAUCUUGAAUCGCAAUACAUUUGAAAACAAAUAUGAAACUUGAGCUGACAACUCUUAAAUUGAAAAAAAAUUUGAAGAGUACCUUAUGCCUCCAAUGUAAAAGCAGCCAACGUUUCCAUAUGAAAGUGUUAUCAAAGAUAAGGAUGGAAAGGGUGAAUUUCAUUACUAUUCAAUAUCCUGAUGUUUCUUUUGUUGAAAAAAUAAAUAAAGUAUUAAAAAUGAAUACACCAAACCAAGUGACAUUUAUAAGUUGGAAUAUCAUUUUAAUAUAGAAAAAAAGUUCCAAAACUGUAGCAUCUUUUAGUAGUUUUACAUAAAUGAAAGUAAGUGUGUUAAUAAUUCGAAAAUUAUACCAACAGUUUAAUCAACUAUUAAAUUAUCAGGAGAUAAAGCAUGGUGGCAUGUGAGUAUGGAUUAGAUUUUCUGAUUCAUUUGAAUUUAUUUUUGAAUAACUUUUUUAACAUUCAUAAAGUUUUAACAAACAUCCAAUUAUUCCUAUCAAACAAUGUUUUCGAAAUCUUUAGGGAUCUUUUGAAAUAUAAAGUUAAAUUUGAAUAUUUUAUUUGUUGUUUUUAAUCUCGAUAGAAUUGAUUAUGUUGUGAUUAGAAUUUUGUAUAAAAAUUAGGGAAAUGGAAUGAAAUAUGAAAUCGAAAUAUACAGGAAACAGUGUUAAAAAAAUUAUAUCUUUCCUUUGUGGACAAAGAUAUGUGAGUACAAAUCAUUUUACGUAUCAGAUUAACUCCCUAACUCUAAAUCAUAAACUUCAAUAAUAUUUCUAUAGUUAGUCAAAUUACUUAUAAUUUUACCAUCUUUAAACAUUAUUAUUGAAGUAAUGAACGCUCUGUAUAAUUAGUAUCCAAGCAAGAUUUAUACUCAAAGAUCGUACAAUUAAACCUCAUUUUGGAAAAUUUUCUCAAUUGUUCCAAGCAAUUACUCAAGGAUUUUUAUAAUCUGUAUGAAUUCCUUUUCACUGAUUAGUAAUUUUAGCCAAUAGGUAUAUGUUCAGAAAAACAAUGGUUAUUCUAUAAGAAAUUGUUAUGGUGCUUGUAGAGUGUUUAUAAUUCAAUGUUUUUAAUGGUUUACAAAGGAUUUGAAAAACAUCAUGUCGGGUGCAGUUUUGGAACUCUUUUUAUCUGUUUGUAGAAUAGUUUAUUUACAUUAUAUUGAGGGUUUAAUACCAAUAACGAAAAAUAAAAAAUGACCAUGCAGCCCCUUUUUAGACACCUUCAUCUUUAUUGGUAGAAUUUCUUAUUUACUUCACAUUUCGAAUUUAUUUUUGAUAUUCAUGAGAAUAACAUUUAAUAGAAUAUUUUUUGAAAUCGUUUGUCUAAUUUGGGGAUAAGGACAACCCUACAUUAUGGGAAGUUUUAAAAUCACAGAAUUCUCGAUAUCAAGAUAACAAAAAUAUUUUGUUUUGUACUUUAUACAUAUGCAGCUAAUUGCUGAGAACUUGGGAUAAAUUUCAGUAACAUUGUCUCAAAUUCUACGAUCCUUAAUUAAUAUAAAAAUUUUCAUGUACCUGUAAUCAGUAAUGAAAGUAUUAAUUCGAAAAAAGAAGGUAUGUCGUAAAACAUUAAAAGUAUACAGAUUCCCCAAAAGGAAAUUACUAUUAUUUGCUGCCCAUAACCUCGAAUUAUAUAGCCAUUUAAUAAUAUUAAGUUAUUGUGAAUUGUAAUAAUUAAAUCUAUGCCAUAUUUUAUUGUAUGUAUUAUAUCUAUUAUCACUAAUUAUUUAAAACUUUCUUAGAAAUAUUAUUAAAAAUAUAUCUUGUUUUAUAUAUUUUGUCUUUGAAAACACUAUUUUAUUCAAUAUGGAAAUUAUAUAACAAAAUAUGUAAUAUUUAAUUACUUAUUAUUUAAUAAAUCAAAACUUUA